GACGAACGCUGGCGGCGUGCUUAACACAUGCAAGUCGAACGGAAAGGCCCUGCUUUUGUGGGGUGCUCGAGUGGCGAACGGGUGAGUAACACGUGAGUAACCUGCCCUUGACUUUGGGAUAACUUCAGGAAACUGGGGCUAAUACCGGAUAGGAGCUCCUGCUGCAUGGUGGGGGUUGGAAAGUUUCGGCGGUUGGGGAUGGACUCGCGGCUUAUCAGCUUGUUGGUGGGGUAGUGGCUUACCAAGGCUUUGACGGGUAGCCGGCCUGAAAGGGUGACCGGCCACAAUGGGACUGAGAUACGGCCCAGACUCCUACUGUAGGCAGCAGUGGGGAAUAUUGCACAAUGGGCGGAAGCCUGAUGCAGCAACGACGCGUGCGGGAUGACGGCCUUCGGGUUGUAAACCGCUUUCGCCUGUGACGAACCGUGAGUGACGGUAAUGGGUAAAGAAGCACCGGCUAACUACGUG
rnacentral:rRNA from 1 species